GUUCGAUUCUGGCUCAGAUUGAACGCUGGCCGGGGAUGCUUUACACAUGCAGUCAGACGGCAGCACGGACUUCGGUCUGGUGGCGAGUGGCAGAACGGGUGAGUAAUGUAUCGGAACGUGCCUAUUGGCGGGGGAUAACUACGCGAAAGCGUAAUAAUGCCACAUACGCCCUUCGAGGGAAAGCGGGGGGACCUUCGGGCCUCGCACUAUUAGAGCGGCCGAUAUCGGACUAGCUGGUUGGUGGGGGUAACGGCUCACCAAAGGCGACGAUCCGUAGCUGGUUUGAGAGGACGACCAGCCACACUGGGACUGAGACCCAGCAGCCCGGAACUCCUACGGAGGCAGCAGUGGGGGAAUUUUUGGACAAUGGAAACCCUGAUCCAGCCAUCCCGCGUGUGCGAUGAAGGCCUUCGGGUUAUGUACUUUUGGCAGGAAAGAAACGGCUGGGAUAAUACCCCGUGCAACUGACUGGCCACCUGCAGAAAUCAGCGCGGCUAACCGUGCCAGCAGCCGCGGUAAUACGUAGGGUGCAAGCGUUAAUCGGAAUUACUGGGCGUAAAGCGUGCGCAGGCGGUUCGGAAAGAAAAGAUGUGAAAUCCCAGAGCUUAACUUUGGAACUGCAUUUUUAACUACCAGUAGAGUGUGUCAGAGGAGGUGGAAUUCCGCGUGUAGCGGUGAAAUGCGUAGAUAUACGGAAGACACCGAUGGCGAAGGCAGCCUCCUGGGAUCUGCACUGACGCUCAUGCGAAAAAGCAUGGGAGCCGGCUUAAGUUAAGAUACCCUGGUAGUCCACGCCCUAAACGAUGUCAACUAGCUGUUGGGGCCUUCGGGCCUUGGUAGCGCAGCUAACGCGUGAGAUUGGCCACUGGAAACUAGAUAUACAGUUAAAACUCAAAGGAAUUGACGGGGACCACUGGCAGUGGAUGAUGUGGAUUAAUUCGAUGCAACGCGAAAAACCUUACCUACCCUUGACAUGUCUGGAAUCCCGAAAGAAUUUGGGAGUGCUCGCAAGAGAACCGGAACACAGGUGCUGCCUGUCGUCAGCUCGUGUCGUGAGAUGUUGGGUUAAGUCCCGCAACGAGCGCAACCCUUGUCAUUAGUUGCUACGAAAGGGCACUCUAAUGAGACUGCCGGUGACAAACCGGAGGAAGGUGGGGAUGACGUCAAGUCCUCCAUGGCCCUUAUGGGUAGGGCUUCACACGUCAUGCAAUGGUCGGGACAGAGGGUCGCCAACCCGCGAGGGGAGCCAAUCCCAGAAACCCGAUCGUAGUCGGAUCGCAGGAAAUCUACGACUCGACUGCGUGAAGUCGGAAAUCGCUAGUAAUCGCGGAUCAGCAUGUCGCGGUGAAUACGUUCCCGGGUCUUGUACACACCGCCCGUCACACCAUGGGAGUGGGUUUUACAAGUAGUUAGCCUAACCGUAAGGAGGGCGAUUACCACAGUAAGUUCAUGACUGGGGGUGAAGUCGUAACAAGGUAG
rnacentral:rRNA from 1 species